rnacentral:lncRNA from 1 species
CCGACUGUGUCACCUGGUUGUAAUAUAAGAAAAUUUAAGAGUAGAAGUCCAAGGUCAUUCAAAGCUUUGCUUUCGAAAAUAGGAUUUUUCAAAAAUAAAACAAGAAUCUUGUAUAAUAGUGUGUGUGUGUGUGUGUAUAUAUAUAUAUAUAUAGGUUUUUUCGAAAAUAAAACAAGAAUCUUGUAUAAUAGUGCGUAUAUAUAUAUAUANNNNNNNNNNNNNNNNNNNNNNNNNNNNNNNNNNNNNNNNNNNNNNNNNNNNNNNNNNNNNNNNNNNNNNNNNNNNNNNNNNNNNNNNNNNNNNNNNNNNNNNNNNNNNNNNNNNNNNNNNNNNNNNNNNNNNNNNNNNNNNNNNNNNNNNNNNNNNNNNNNNNNNNNNNNNNNNNNNNNNNNNNNNNNNUAUAUAUAUAUAUAUAUGAGUGUAUAAACGCAUCUUAUACACUUUUAUAUACCUUUAUAUACAAGCGUCUGUAGAUGUCACGAUCCGUAUUUUCUACCUUCGGGGAUCGCGAUGGCGCCUAUUAAUGAGAACUAGGCAAGCCAACCCUUAGCUACCUUUUUCAUUAAUAAUGUACUUCUUUUAAAAAUUAUCAAUGAUUGUAUGGAAAUAACGGAAUUAAAUAAAUAAGCGGAAGACUUAAGUUAGAGAAACUGAACAAUAAUACAAAAAUCAAAAUGUGCCUCUACCAAAGAACUAGUGUCACAUCACUCAUGAACAGGGGCGGACCCACAUGGAGUCAAGUGGGUUCAUAUGAACCCGCUUCAUUAAAAAAUAACACUAUAUAUAGGUAUAUUUUUACUGUUUUCAAAUAAAUAAAUGUAUAAAUAUAAUUUUGAACACACUUCAAACAAGUAAAAUGCCAAGCCUGUUUGUAAAGAGGGUUCAAAAUUUUCAUGGUCCUGAGUUCGAAACCAGCUAGUCGCAUAUGACCUCUAAUUUUAUUUUUUGAACCCGCUUGAUAAAACUCCUGGGUCCGCCUACUAAAUACAACAUUUUGAAAGAAAAUAUAAACUGUUUGUCUCCGAUGCAUGAGGUAACAUACUGAAAUAAAAGAUAGAAGAGACGUCGGGCCUACUAACGCCUGCAAAGCUACCUCGGUGUCUCGCUGAGCUAAAGGCUAACUCCCGAUCUAAUGCUGCUGCUCAAACGCUGCACCGAUAUCUGCACAUAAGUGUAGAGCAUAGCAUUAACACAAUCAACCACAUGUGUUGGUAAGUGUCUGGCCUAACCCCGGCGAGGUAGUGACGAGGCUAGGACUAAACUCCAGAAAAACCGGUGCACUUAUAUAAUUUAUGGCGAAAGAAAUAAGGGAAAUAAACAAGUGAAAACAAGGGAGGGGAAAUAUGCUUUGGGGAUAGCAAGAUAAACAGAAUCUGCAAGAAAUGAUAACUAAAUCAACAAUUAAACUGCUAACACGGAUAAGAAUAUAUAAAAGCAACGUUCACUUUCAUUACUCAUCUCGUUGCAGGCGUGCAACUGCUUGUCUGGAGGGAUCAUCAUAAAUGAUUAUAGUGUGUUGUUCACAAUACAUAAUAUUCCUUCUUACCAUUUAGCUAUUUUCCCCAUCGAGAAAGAGACCGAGGAUAGGUCGGAAGCUUCUUCCUUUGAAGGACUUUCUCCUUCAUGAAGGUUUCAAUCUUUCAAUCUUUCAAUCUUAGGUCGUGAGGUAUGUGACCUAUGUUAGGUCCAAAAGAUACCACAGCUUUUGGAGAUCUCAUUUCUAUAUAACUUGUGGUAGGCGUACCACCUGCUCCCACUUCUUUCAACACAAUACACAAUACAAUCCCGGCAAGGGAAAAAAAUAAAGUAAUAACUUCCCGGCAAGGGAAACAAUAACAACAAAUCAAAUGUCCCAGCAAGGGAGAAUCAACUAUAACCAAUCUUGUUCAACAUCUACUUGACACGAUUAAAUCAAUACUCAAUCAUAACCAAAGUCCACGGAAAUAAACUAAGUCCUUACUCCGUAUCAAGGAUCAUCAAUCAAAGCUUUCAUAGAAUCAUUUAAGAAUACACAAUUAUUAACAUAAGACCCCACGGUUAUGCUCGAAACCAAUGUAUGGAUACUCAUCACCAUGCAUAUACGUCGUACUCAACACAAAGCAAGUAGCAAAUAUUACUCAACUCCUGAUCCCUCAAGAUAAGGUUAGACCGAACACUCACCUCCAUGCUUUGAACUCAACUCAAGUCUCAAUUUUAGCUUUACCCCUUAAUUCAUCCACAAAUCCGAUCGAAUCUAGUCACAAGUUACUUAAUUACAUCAAUAAAUGCUAAACAAUCAAUUUGAAUGCAUAAAAAUAAAUUUUCCAUGGUUUUGCCCAAAAAGUAAAAAAUUUCCCUUGGGUCCAUGUGGUCAAAACCCGAGGUUCGGACCAAACCUGGUUACCCAUUCCCCCACAAACCCAAAUAUAUAAUUUAUUUUGAAAUCAGACUCAAAUUGAGGUCCAAAUCCCCAAAUUUAGAAAAAAUCUAAGUUUUACCCAAAACUUCCAAUUUCUCCCAUGAAAAUCUUUGAUUUUAAAUUGAAAACAUGUUAAAUGAUGUUAAUGAUUGAAAGAAAAUCGCCCAAAGAAGUUUGUGUUUUGAAAUAAUGUUAAAAAUGGGUCAAAAUUCGGCUAAGUGUAAAAUAUGCAGGUCUCAGAUAUGGGAAAUGCGAACAGGAGCUCACAAUUGUGAACCCCGACCUACUAAGGUGGGAAUUGCGAAUACUCUGUUCGCAUUUGCGAUCCCAGGUCUCGCAUUUGCGAUCCCAGGCGUCGCAUGUGCGACUGAUCUUCGCAUUGGCGAACCCAGUGGUCGCAUUUGCAAUCAGGCUGGCCCAGGUCUCCACUUCCCAUUUGCGAUGACGGCUCGCAUUUGCGAGAAUGGCUUCAUAAAUGCGAAGCCUUCAUAUAAAAAAUGCAACAACUAUUUCUCAAAGGUUCAAAACGCAUAUGUGGCCUAUUCAAAACUCACCCGAGCCCUCGGGGCUCCAAACCAAAUAUACACACAACUCGAAAACAUCAUACGGACUUAUCUGUGUGAUUAAAUCGCCAAAAUAACAUCAUAUACAUCAAAUUAAGCCUCAAAAUCCAUGAAUUCUUUCAAAUUUCAUAAAACAUCAAAAUUUUCAUUUUAUGUCCGAAACACGUCAAACGGCAUCCGUUUCAACUAAACGUUAUAUAUAGUUCUUAAAGCAUAUAUAAGACUUGUACCGAACACCGGAACCAAAAUAUGUGCAUGAUACCAUCAUUUUCUAAUCAGAUUUUAUUUCCACUUUCCUUUAAUAUUUUCAGGAAAAUAAUUUUACUCAAAUAUUUACUUCUCAGGCUUGGGACCUCGGAAUUUGAUUCCAGACAUACGUCCAAAUCCCAUAUUUUCUUACGGACCCCCUGGGACUGUUGAUCACACCCAACUGAGUCUCAUAAAAGACUACGCAAGCGUUGAAAAUAGAAUCUGAGUAUUAUAGCCCAGAUUCGAACCACAGAGAAUUAACCUAUCAAUCACUACAGUCAGAUUUACUAAAUUCACACAAUCUGUUUUCCCAAACUUUUUGAUCCACAAUGGUUGAUGUUUCUAACAACUAAAUACUGAAAGCAAAAGCUGGAAAUUAACUAAACUGAUUUGUUAACAGUUGGAAAAAGGUCUAAGGCAAUGGUUUUUUCCCGUUGGUAAUUUCCUUGGUUGUAUAUGUCUUAUAACUAUGAAUUAGUUGUCUCUAUCAAUCAUGAACACUCAAGCUAUCAUAAUUCUUUCUCAAGUAACUAUGAUAAUCUACUAGAUGCACUCUCUUAAUUUAAGCUAGCUAAUUUUGCAAUACAAAUCACUUAAUGCACCCGGGGUUUCGUUAUCUCUAAUACGACCCCUAAACCCUCGGUUAUGACUCUCGUCUAUACUCCAGGAGUGAUGUUGUUCAUACAAUCACCUANNNNNNNNNNNNNNNNNNNNNNNNNNNNNNNNNNNNNNNNNNNNNNNNNNNNNNNNNNNNNNNNNNNNNNNNNNNNNNNNNNNNNNNNNNNNNNNNNNNNNNNNNNNNNNNNNNNNNNNNNNNNNNNNNNNNNNNNNNNNNNNNNNNNNNNNNNNNNNNNNNNNNNNNNNNNNNNNNNNNNNNNNNNNNNNNNNNNNNNNNNNNNNNNNNNNNNAACAACUAGAGAUUAACAACCAAACCCAAUUAUAUUAAUAAAACAACCAAGUCAUCCCCAACGGGUUCCACCAAAACCUUAGAUUAAGGUUUUGAACUACUCAUAACAAUGGGUAAAUAAACUACUAAAAGAUUCAUAGUCAUAAAUUGUAAGAAAAAUAAAGAAGAAUAAGAACAAUGAUGUUUUGGGUGAUCUCUCAUACUUGUUUUCCUUGCCAAAGUACUCUCUAAAACAUUACAUGCCUCCCUUUGGCGAGUUCUAUUGUUUAAAAUAGGGUUUUUGGCUAAAAGUCCCGUGUUUUGCAUUUCUGUUCCUCAACUUUACGCCGCUUGCUGCGGUCCUACCGCGGCCACGCCAAGACCGCGGCCAAAUCACUUUUCAGAAUCCGCAACAACUUCCUGCCGCAGUCUGACCGCGGUUACAUCGGGACCGCGGCAGUCCAUAAAAACUAUACAAGAAAGUGGUUCUUUAGGGCCUAAAUAAAGUUCAAUUCACCUAUUAUCAAUCGCCCAAUCACGGGUCCGGGUCCGUUUGCCCAAAAUGUUGGUCGAAGUCAAAUUGAUAUUUAGCUCUUUAUUUAUAUGAAUUAAACAUGUUUAAGAUAAGCUUGACCUCAUGAUAAUGAAUGAGACCAACGCAUUUAUUAGCCUAAUUUUUAUUAAUAAAUGGUAUUGCCAUUUAUUAAUAAGAUUAUCAGCAGAUACCCAAUUUGACAACUGAGGCCGCGGCCUGGCUGUCCUUGUGAGGGCGUCCCCUCGGUGUGGUCCCAACCUCUUGGCUCCAACUGGCAGGUCUCUUGGCUAUAAAUACUAGGAGAAAAGAACCCUAAAAGGGUAAAAGGGGGGUUGUUUCUUCUUCUUCUUCACAAUGACUUCUAAAAGAAGAAAGAAUACAUCAUUGUAGGCUCUGAACCUCUCUAUGGAGAGGCAGACCAAACCAAUACCAUUAAUAAAAGAUCUUCACCCUCCUCCCUUUAACUUAAAUACAUCAUUGUAAGGCUCUGAACCUCUCCAUGGAGAGGCAGACCAAACUAAUACCAUUAAUGAAAGAUCUUCACCUUCCCCCCCUUUUAAUUAUAGUUGUUGUCUAUUGCACCUUACUCGUUUGGUCUUUUGGUUUAUUACAAUCUGCUAUGAUUGGCCCUUCAUUUAUUUUGAUUGUUUUACACUGACAAAAUAUAUGAGAACUUUUGAGCUAAGCAAUUUGGCACCAUCUGUGGGGAUCUCAUAGCAGAAUCACGUAGUUUAUCCAUAGACCAAAGAAGGAUAAAGAACAACCCAGCUCGAACAAGCCCAAGAGGCGUGUCGGAUCAAAGGAAGUCAAAAACCUCGAGACCAGCUCGAUUCCACAUCCCCGCGUCUCCGAGCAAAUGGAAGAAGAAGAAGAAGGAGAGAUCCCCCACCUCCAUGUUGAAAAUAUGCAUAAGGUACCUCGCCCCCUUUCCACAUGGGAUCCUGCCAAAAGGGAGGAAAGCACAAAAGUAUCUCUCAAACCGAGAUCUGUAAUAGGGUGACCUGCGCAAGCCAGUACAAAAGACCACAUGCGCAAGUUUGGAAAGAUCUGAAGCCAGAAGCAAAUCCCAACCCCCAACACGAAGCGGGUUAUAUGGGAAAAAUAAAUGUUCAACCACGGUUGAACUGGGACUCAAGCUAUGUUCCUUCGACUUCAAAUAUUACAAAAGUUUAACUACGAUUGAACGUCAGCUCAGGCUACGCGCCUUCACCCAAAAGUUCAACUACGGUUGAACUGGGACUCUACGCGCCUUCACCCAAAAGUUCAACUACGGUUGAACGGGGACUCAACUAUACACCUUCUACUUCAAAUAUUAGAAAGGUUCAACUACGGUUGAACGUCAGCUCAGGCUGUGCGCCUUCAAAUAUUACAAAGGUCCAACUACAGUUGAACGUCAGCUCAUGCUACGCGCCUUCACCCAAAAGUUCAACUACGGUUGAACUGGGACUCAGGCUAUGUGCCAUCGACUUCAAAUAUUACAAAAGUUCAACUAUGGUUGAGCGUCAACUCAGGCUACGCACCUUCACCCAAAAGUUCAACUACGGUUGAACGUCAAUUCUGGCUACGCGCCUUCCAAUAUUACAAAAGGUUCAACUACGGUUGAACGUCAACUUAGGCUACGCGCCUUCACCCAAAAGAUCAACGAUGGUUGAACUGGGACUCAGGCUAUGUGCCUUCGACUUCAAAUAUUACAAAAGUUCAACUACGGUUGAACGUCAGCUCAAGAUACGCGCCUUCACCCAAAUGUUCAACUACGAUUGAACUGGGACUCGGGCUAUGUGCCUUCGACUUCAAAUAUUACAAAAGUUCAACUAUAAUUGAACGUCAGAUCAGGCUACGCGCCUUCACCCAAAAGAUCAACUACGAUUGAACUGGGACUCAGGCUUUGUGCCUUCGACUUCAAAUAUUACAAAAGUUCAACUACGAUUGAACGUCAGCUCAGGCUACAUGCAUUCACCCAAAAGUUCAACUACGGUUUGUCCGGGACUCAGGCUAUGUGCAUUCGACUUCAAAUAUUACAAAAGUUUACCUACGGUUGAACCUCAAUUCAGGCUACGCGACUUCACCCAAAAGUUCAACUACGGUUGAACCGGGACUCAGGCUAUGUGCCUUCGACUUCAAAUAUUACGAAAGUUCAACUACGGUUGAGCGUCAGCUCAGGCUACGCGCCUUCGCCCAAAAGUUCAACUACAGUUGAACGUCAAUUCAGGCUAUGUGCCUUCGCCUUCAAAUAUUACAAAAGGUUCAACUACGGUUGAACGUCAGCUCAGGUUACGCGCCUUCACCCAAAAGUUCAACUACGGUUGAGCUGGGACUCAGGCUAUGUGACUUCGACUUCAAAUAAUACAAAAGUUCAACUCCGAUUGAACGUCAAUUCAGGCUAUGUGCCUUCACCUUCAGAAAUUACAAAGGUUCAACUACGGAUUGAACGACAGCUCAGGCUACGUGCCUUCACCUAAGAGAUCGACUACUAGUUAGACUAAGACUCGGUCCAAGUGCUUCCACCAUUAUAACUUACAAAAGAACUUAACCAUGAGGUGGAUCAGGACUCACGCUACACGUCUCCGUCACAAAAGCCACAAACACAACCACGGACGAAUCAAAGCAAAGGACACACGUCCCCGAGGCUAUUAGCCGGGCCGCAAUCAGACAAGAACAAGCGCCCCCAAAUGUCCAACCAUGGACAAACCCUAGGACGGGCAAAGCGCCACGCCGUCUAAGUAAGUACGACUAACUCAAACUAAAGCGUCGACACGUACAAAGUUCGGUCCAAGUCGAACUACAUGGCUGUGCUUUUCAUUAUCACGGCCAGUAGUUCGACUAAGCCCGAACUGGGACUAAGGCUACGUGCCACCACUGCCCAAAUACAGCUACAACCACUGCCAACAAGUGAAGGAAGGUGACGACCAAAAGCGUCUAUCUAUGGCCAAGGCCAUCUACACAAACUUUCCUUAAGGCAAGGAAUCAGUUCAACAAUGGUCGAAAUCACCUAACCGGUUGAAACUAUUAACAUGCCCAUUAGAGAAACUCCAAGGCGGCCCUCUCAAACAAACACAAAAAAGAGACAAUAAGGUGUAUUCGAUACAGAACAAACAGAAGGGAAGAAAACCAUAUAUAUUUACAAUAUUUACACGGGGUUACCCCCAAUAAUAAACUCAAAGGCCGCCCUCUCGAACAAGCACAAAAAGAAAAAAAGAGAAUAAGGUGUAUUCGAUACAAAACAAACAAAGGGGAAGAAAGCCACAUAUAUUUACAAUAUUUACACGAGCAUCCUCUGCCUGCUUCCUUAAAGCGGCGUCCUCCGUCUCCAGGGCAGCCACCUUCCUAGUAAGAGCUUCACCAGCCUCUGCCACAACAGUAUGGUUUUGGCGCUCUCUUUCACUAGCCUCCUUUCUCUCGGCGCUCAUCUCCUCGUUCGCUUUGUGGAGCUGCCCCUCAAGAGCAGUUACCCUGUUGAGGGUAUGUUGCAUAUGAAGCUCCCUCCGCGCCAGCUCUUCUACCAGCUCCUGGUUCCGUGGGUCAUUCCUUAUGCGUUCACGUAGACCACGGCACCGGUCACGAUAGCGACGGAACCUCUCCAACAGCCGCACGAAAACCAUCGAGCGGACGUUAGCCCGUCUGAUGCUCUCAACCUCCAGCAAGAAUGUACACAACAAACAGAGCGACAGUUAAUACAAAAAGACGUAUUAAGAAAGAAAACAAACCAAAGUUUUAUACAUACCUUUAUACUAAGGGCGGCCACCCCACCCAUCAACCUGACGUAUGAGAUGCCCCUCAGGGACGUGCUCUCCGCUUCCGAGCACAAAACCCCGAACAACGUCACCAGGUUCUCCUCCUCGAGUAGUAUGUUCAGGUCAUUAGGGAUCUCCUAAUAAUGGUAAUCCCUUUCAGCCUGCACCGCUGGGCGGGUAUAACCCUCCUGAAAAAGACGGACGUAUUCAGGAUCCAUGUCGGACUCUGAAUCAUCCCCCUCUCCUGAGGCGUCCCUUCCUUCUACCACCCUGGAAGUUGAGGCCUCUACUGCUUGGGACGUUGAAGCGCCUGCAUUCGCCAAAAUACUGAAGCAUAUACCCUACACCAAAAUAGUUGUCGAGGAACUACCUUCCCUCUCAGCAACAGGAACAGAUAUUUGAAUUGCCGAAGCGAUUGUGUCAUAUUAGCCUGAGCCAACUGGGGCAACCCCCACUGAGUGAUCGCCCUCUGGGGCAAGGUCCGCUGCGUCCCCCUCCUCCGUUGAUGGCGAAGAGUCCAAACUAAUCACCACCGGAAGGGCCGGGGUGGACACCACCCUAUACCGAACCAGCAGCCUCCCGUCUUCUUCCUCAUCUUCGUUCGCUGAUCGUUCCACCCUGGAAUGCACGACCCCUGGAGAUUCUCCAACAACGGCCACGGACCGCGCCGGGGAAUGUGCCGCCAAGGAUUCUACCGAGGUCGCCCUCGGGACUAGGCGAGGCGCCGGUAUUGUAAUCAAUCGAGCAGUCGGCCCUGGCCUACGGAGAGCAAGCUGAGGCGCCCUCCUCCGCCGUGGUCGUUCUGUCCAACCAAGGAAAAAGGGCAAAGUAAAAGAAACUAAAGCCUACAAAAGGAUCAAUACCAGCAAGUCAAAUUCUUACCAGCUGCCGGCCAGGGGCCAUGGACCUCCCAGAAAGACGCCCACGUAUGAAUCCCCAUUGCAACGGGGAGCACGGCCUUGACCCACUCGCGAAUGCCUGAAAAUGGUGCCGGUGGCGCACCUCUCGCUACGGCACAAGAAGAAGAUCAGUACAUACGAACAUAAAGCGGGACAUUUAGUCAAAGAAAACCAAGGCCAGUGUAAAAUAAACUUACGUGCAUGGUUCCACUCCUUCGGGAAGUCAAUAGCGCAAGCCACCAGGUUCUCGGUCCUGAUAAAGAGAAAUGCUCGUAAGGAUGGGUAGUGACCUCGUCGUCAAGCUCCGCAGUUAAGCCGACGCACGAGGGACAAACUAAAUCAUGAUGCCACGUACCCUCUGAGGGGCAUAGAGAGUUAGCACGUGCCCAAGAGUGAUCUCCCUCCUUGCCAACUCCGCAUAUUUGAUCAGCAUCGCCAGUAAAUUGUAACAAGAGGGUCUGACCGGGGCACACCCUGUAGUAGCGACAAAAAUCGACCACCAGCAUUGGGAGAGGAAGCCUGAAUCCCAGCUUGAAAAGGUAGGCAUAAAAGACACAGUAUCCCCGACGGUCAACGUGUACCCUUUCGCCGCUUCUAGCGAGGACGAUGUUGGCGAAGCGAGGAAUAUCGCAUUGCUCCUUCAGCUGGGCAAUGCCAACUUCCCCCAUCAGUGGGGCUUCAUCCACUGGAUCCUCUAUCUCGGGGUCGGUGAAAUUAGUUGCAGAACCACCGGGGAGAGAGAGAAUGUUAGUCAACGACGGAAACUGGUCAACAUUCGACAAAUCGGUGGUUCUUACCACUGCAAAUGGGCCCUCAGCCACCGUAACCGACAUCGGAGAAAUAUCGGAAUGAGAAACACUCGCCAUUGUCAGUAUAAUGGAAGAGAAAUGGAAAAAUUCACCGGAAGAGCAAGAAAAGACGGAGAUCCAACGAAAACGACAGAGAAUAAAUUAACAAGGAGCACAUACUAGAUAAUCUGAAAACAAGAAGGAGCUCUCUCUCUCUCUCGGUAUUUCAUUUAGACAAAUAUAAAAAAAGUGUGAACUGAACGCUAUAACCCCUUAUUUAUAGACGAGGCAUAAAUGACCUUCACGAAUCCCAAAGGUCACCAUUAACUACCUGAUCAACCGCAAAACGGUUUAGGCCUAUAGUAACGGGCAUCAUUAUGACAGAUACCACGCACCGGCCAUUCAACCGCCAAUCACCACGUCUCCCCUAAAAUGGUUGUGACAUCCCCAAGGUACCAUGAGCUCGCCCCACGCGUCACCAUGCAUACGACGUCCCCCUUAUACGUGGUAAGUAUGAUCUUAUUCUCUUUAUGCAUGUAAAAAGGCUACGGCCAUCUCCAGAAGAAAAUUGGCUAUGGCCAUCCUUGAAGUAAAAAUGGCCACGGCCAUCUCCAAAAUAAAAGUCUAUGGCCACUCCUAAAGUAAAAAUGGCUACGACCAUCCCUAAAGUAAAAAUGGCCACAACCAUCUCCAAAAGAUGAAUGGCUACGGCCAUCCCUGAAGUAAAAAUGGCCACGGCCAUCUCUAAAAGAUAAAAGGCUACGGUCACUCCUAAAGUAAAAAUGGUUAUUGCCAUCUCUAAAGUAAAAAUGGCUACGGUCAUCCCUGAAGUAAAAAUGGCCACGGCCAUCUUCACAAGAAAAAUGGCCACGGCCAUCUCCAAAAGAUAAAUGGCUACGGCCAUCUCCAAAAGAUAAAAGGUUGCGGCGAUCCCUAGAGUAAGAAUGGCAAUGGCCAUCUCCAAAAGAUAGAAGGCUAAGGCCAUCUGUAAAAGUAAAAACGGCUACGGCCGUCUCCAAAGAAUAAAGGACUACGAUCGUCCCCGACGCAUAAACGACUACGGUUAUUGCGGAAUCCGCUGAUUGAGCUCAGCCUGAGCACAACCUCAAUAAGCGGAUGGACUAUCUGUAUGGGUCAAAACUUGACCUCACGAUAAUGAAUGAGACGAAUGCAUUUAUUAAUGCCUAUUUGUGAUUAAUAAAUGGUAUGGUCAUUUAUUAAUAAGAUUAUCAGGCAGAUACCCAAUUUGACAACUGAGGCCACGGCCUAGCCGUUCUUGUGAGGGUGUCCUCGGUGUGGUCCCAACCCAUUGGCGCCAGCUGGCAGGUCUCUUGGCUAUAAAUACUAGGAGGAAGAACCCUAAAAAGGGGGCUGUUUCUUCUUCUUCAGAUUGACUUCUAAAAGAAGAAAUAAAACAUAAUUGUAAGGCUCUGAACCUCUCUAUGGAGAGGCAGACCAAACCAAUAUCAUUAAUAAAAGAUCUUCACCCUCCUCCCUUUAAUAUAUAACUGUUUUCACACUUCCUUUUUCCACUUAAAGGAGUUUUUCCACUUAAAAGACAAUCGGAACAGGAUUUAGUUUAUUAAUUAUUUUUAAUCGCCACUUGGGAGAUUAAUAGUAUCCCAAGUCACCGGUUUUAAUCUCGAACCGAGGAAAAUUAUGACUUUAUUAACAGUCCGCGAACCAGAAAUCCGGGUAAGGAAUUCUGUUAACCCGGAAGAAUGUGUUAGGCAUUCCCGAGUUCCGUGGUUCUAGCACGGAUCACUUAACUAUUGCACUUGAUUUUAUCUGAUUUUAAUACAUGCUAGCCUAUAUACCUUUUAUUUAUAUAUCGCUUUUACCGUUAUUUAUUUUAAAAUACUUGCGACGUCGUGAAAAUACGUCUCUGACCACGUCGCCAUCAAGGAACCCGUGGUCGUCAACACAUUUCGACUUCGUCGAGAUUUGGAUUUAGGUCGCAUCAAUGCGCACACGAGUUUAAGAUAGUAAUUUAAUUAAAUCUCGUUUAAAGGUUCUAGCGUAAUAUUAUUUUGGUAAAGGCUGCUGAAAUUCGCUAAACGGCCCUUCCAAAUUCUAAUCAUUUUUUAUAAUCAAUUAUUGAGGGCCCCACAUUUAUAUUUUGUUCGGUGAGGCUCGUCUCCAUUUUUGAACCAAUUUUCAAUCAUUAUUUGUUUUAUAAGAAUUACGGCGUCAUGAAAACGCGUUUCUAACCCCGUCGCACCAAGGCACACGUGGUUAUCAACACAUUUCGACUUCGUCGAGAUUUGGAUUUGGGUCGCACCAAUGCGCACCCGUUUAAGAAGAUAAAAUUAUUAAAACGUGCCUAAAGUAAUUUCGCAUUUGUGAUUUGCGAGGGCCAUGAAAUUUAGCUAAAUGGCACGUCUCGGAAUCUAAGGAUCAAUACAAGAUUAAUUAAAGUGAGGGCUAUGUAAUUGUCAUACUAAAUUUCGUUUUAAGAAAUUCGGCGUUCUAUUCCUCCUAACAGUGAAUCUAUGUACUCCAAUGUGAUCGAAUAAAACAUGAAUCUAAACAGUGACAAAUAAACGCUUGCUUGAGCCCUUCCAGUUGUGUGACUCGGCAAACUAAAGACUUGCUAAUAAUUUCACAAAUUUCAACUCAGGCUGCCAGGGAGGAAAGCACACGGAACAUCCAGUAGGUGCUGAUUUUGCAACUGUUGCAGUGACUCGACAAACUAAAGACUUGCUAAUAAUUUCACAAAUUUCAACUCAGGCUGCCAGGGAGGAAAGCACACGGAACAUCCAGUGCAGAAUCUUUAUCGAUGAAUUUGGCUUAUCCUUAACGAUCAAUAUUAGUGCCUAUAAAGUUCUUAAACAGAGAAUCAAACACAAAUACAGAAGGCUAGAAUUGCUUCUACCAAGUGAACAUAAAACUAUGAAAUUAUCAAUUAACAAGCAUAAAUCUAUCACAUUCAUAAAAAUAUCCAACUGAUGUAACCAAAUCAGUGUGUAACAUGAACAUUAAUUCAACGUAGAACAUUUAUAAAUUGUCAAAGUUUUGUCAUGGGAACAAAAGCAGUAGAAAAUUAGAAAAGAGAAACAGAACCUCUCGUUAAACAGCAAACCCGAGCCGAAAUAGCAGGCCACCGGACGAGAAACUCAAAUAGGCACCGGAAUUUCGAAUCGAACACGAACUCGAAUCAAUCUCGGCUGAAAUUAUCCCCAUACUCGAAUAACCAGAAGUCUAAUCCAAUUGAAGAAACAGAACCAAAACCAUCUCUGAAAUCAAUUUAUCUGGUGUGUGCUUUUGAGAAUUUCCGGCGACGAAUUGCGAGUGAAUUCCGACGAUACUGAUGAGUGACUGAGCGUAUGUGUGUAGCCAGUGAAGGAGUGAAUUGGGUGUUGUUUUCCAGUGAGGGAACUUGUUUGGUUGAGUGAUCACCGGCGAAGUAAAGGUCGUUUGGACAGAGGCGACGCCGGAAGUUCAGGAGUUGUUUGGGUGAGCAGUUGUCGGGUGAGAGAGGGAGACGAAAUCAGGGGGUCUUUUUGUGUUCAAUCUAUUGCGUUCC